rnacentral:rRNA from 1 species
GAUCCUGGCUCAGGAUAAACGCUGGCGGCGCACAUAAGACAUGCAAGUCGAACGAACUUAACCAUUAGUUUACUAUUGGAGCGGUUAGUGGCGGACUGGUGAGUAACACGUAAGCAACCUGCCUAUCAGAGGGGAACAACAGUUAGAAAUGACUGCUAAUACCGACAUAUGCCUUAGAAUCACAUGGUUCAAAAAGGGGAAAGGAGCAAUCCGCUGAUAGAUGGGCUUGCGUCUGAUUAG